AGUGGGGAAUAUUGGUCAAUGGGCGCAAGCCUGAACCAGCCAUGCCGCGUGAGUGAUGAAGGCCCUAGGGUUGUAAAGCUCUUUCGGCGGGGAAGAUAAUGACGGUACCCGCAGAAGAAGCCCCGGCUAACUUCGUGCCAGCAGCCGCGGUAAUACGAAGGGGGCUAGCGUUGUUCGGAAUCACUGGGCGUAAAGCGCGCGUAGGCGGAUCGUUAAGUCGGGGGUGAAAUCCCGAGGCUCAACCUCGGAACUGCCUUCGAUACUGGCGAUCUGGAGUCCGGGAGAGGUGAGUGGAACUCCUAGUGUAGAGGUGAAAUUCGUAGAUAUUAGGAAGAACACCAGUGGCGAAGGCGGCUCACUGGCCCGGUACUGACGCUGAUGUGCGAAAGCGUGGGGAGCAAA
rnacentral:rRNA from 1 species